rnacentral:lncRNA from 1 species
AUGCAAUUGCUGAAGUAGCCAAGCUCCUGUGCAUUGUAAAUGUCAGCCUUGUUCCAACACCUCUGCUAAGGUAAGGACGAGAACCGAAGAGCGUUACCUUUCAAUUUAUGAUUUCCUGGUGCGUGUGUGAUGCCUGGGAGGCCCAGGCUACGUUCCUUUAGCCACUGAAGGACUCUGACAGCUGCCUCCUGGGGGUGUGGGAGCCAAGAGGCGGGAAGUCAAACUUCAGAUGUGUCUAUUGAAUGGCAGGAUGAAGAGCCUGGUAGCAGUGCUUGCGGAAGGGCUGGGAAGCCGAAUUCUUUGAGAGUAAUGAAGCCACUUCCGGGCAGGUAGCACAGGGAGCUGAUGAAGCCCAGUGUUUGAAUCAGACCUCUUUUAGCUCCAGUCCUGGUUCAGUACUCUCUAGGUGUGUGAUCUUGGACAAGAUGUUCAAGCCCCAAGCCUAUGAGUCUCUAACUAAGGUUGUGUAGAAUAAAUGAGACAGUGUACCUCAGACCUUUGAUAAAAAGUGAAUGUUCAAUAAAGGUAACAGGAUACUGUGACCCCAAAUAGCCACAGCGCCUUCUCCCGUGGGUGGAGGGUGGAGCCUAUGGGUAUCUGUGUGUGCUUUCUCCCCCACACUGUGGGCAUGUAUUUAUAUUUUUAAAGCUAAAUUGAAAUGAAUCCUAGUUCAACCUUGAAUGGGAAGAAGUAUUGCAAAAGGGCAAUAGGCUAUCAGAGGGUGGGUGUGGAAGUGGGAGAGGCAGGUACCUAUUUACUUAGGGAAUAUUUACCAAUCUCUACCAUGUGUGGGAAUCUGUGCUUAGCACUGAGGAUAGACCAGAGGGUGGGAUAGACAGUUGCCCCUGCCCCGAUGGUGGCUGCCAUCCAGCAGGGAGGGCAGAUGUGAAGCAUUACAUACGUGCUUACUUGCCAUUGUGCAUGUAUGUUGUAUGUUAUGAACAAGUGCAAAGCACCCCGAGUUCACAGACAGGGGCUGUAACUGUCUAGUUUGGUGAAUGGCUGAUGAAGGCAGUGCUGGGAGAUGAUAAAUGUCCCUUCUGUCCCUUAGGACUUGCAGGUAAUGGUCUCCUGUGUCCCUCCCUUGACUCCAGGCUGUCUAGUGAAGGUGAUCGUUCCAAUUGCCCUAUUAGGACAUCGGGGUUUCUUAACUAAACCCUGAAUGAUGCCUUGGAUUUAUGCAUUCUGGCCAACGUGUUGAAAUACGUCAGUCUGGCUGGGCACGGUGGCUCAUGCCUGUAAUCCU